AUAGCGUAUAUUAAAGUUGUUGCAGUUCAAAAGCUCGUAGUUGAACUUCGAAUGUGGCUGGGCGGUCCGCCUCCGGGUGUGUACUGUCUGGCUGUGUUCUCUUUCUUGGUGAGCCGGUAUGCCCUUUACUGGGUGUGUUGGGGAACCAGGACCUUUACCUUGAGAAAAUUAGAGUGUUCAAAGCAGGCCUACGCCCGAAUACAUUAGCAUGGCAUAAUAAAAUAGGACGUGCGGUUCUAUUUUGUUGGUUUCUAGAGUCGCCGUAAUGAUUAAUAGGGAUAGUUGGGGGCAUUAGUAUUCCGUUGCUAGAGGUGAAAUUCUUGGAUUUACGGAAGACUAACUUCUG
rnacentral:rRNA from 1 species